AUUGAACGCUGGCGGCAUGCCUUACACAUGCAAGUCGAACGGCAGCACGGACUUCGGUCUGGUGGCGAGUGGCGAACGGGUGAGUAAUGUAUCGGAACGUACCUUUCAGUGGGGGAUAACGUAGCGAAAGUUACGCUAAUACCGCAUAUUCUGUGAGAAGGAAAGCAGGGGAUCGCAAGACCUUGCGCUGAUUGAGCGGCCGAUAUCAGAUUAGCUAGUUGGUGGGGUAAAGGCCUACCAAGGCUACGAUCUGUAGCGGGUCUGAGAGGAUGAUCCGCCACACUGGAACUGAGACACGGUCCAGACUCCUACGGGAGGCAGCAGUGGGGAAUUUUGGACAAUGGGGGCAACCCUGAUCCAGCCAUGCCGCGUGAGUGAAGAAGGCCUUCGGGUUGUAAAGCUCUUUCGGCCGGGAAGAAAUCGCAUAGGCUAAUACCCUGUGUGGAUGACGGUACCGGAAUAAGAAGCACCGGCUAACUACGUGCCAGCAGCCGCCGUAAGAC
rnacentral:rRNA from 1 species